GUAAACACAAAUUAGCCCAUAUGGGCGUUUUAACAGCUGACAUGCCCUUUUUCCUCCCAAGCUCAAAACAGUUACGCCCACGAGAUGGAGUAAAACAAGCUAGAACCUUUAUUUUACCCUCGACCUCAUUCAGAUGAACAUUAAGGGGAUGUUGCGGUAGUAAAAUGGGGGUUCUCAAAAAAUAACUGGCGUUGGGUAGAUAGGGAGUGCUGAAUACGCCCAUAUCUAACCCGAGCCAAACAGCUAAAGAACAACUCAGCCGCCAGGUGCCGCCUGCCAUGACCAACAUGGCUGUCACCCCGAGCGACAAUUUCAGUAGAAUUUCUGCACUCAGAUUCGAAAUAUCCCGCGCAAUGUGCGUCCGCGUUGUUUUUCUGUUUGGAGUAGCCGCGCUAGCGCUGCAGGCGCUGCAGAGAAUGCCGCGGCAAACCCGAAACUACGCCACCGUACCGAAACUUUCGAAGCGCCGCGCCGACGGGUCUUCGGAGUGCGCGCGCUCGAAGCGACCAAGCGGCAGCCAUUACCACCAGCGUCGGCGCAUUGUUCUGCCGUCGUUGGUGUCUCCCGCAGUUUCGAACAGCCAAGACUCCACGACUGCAGCCGUUUCAUUGCCAGCUGUAAGGAUGAAGCAGCUUCAUAGCCGGACAUUUCCCCUUUUCAGCAACAGAGGCAUAGGAUGCCAUUCUACCUGUGCUGCAUUGUGUGGCUGACCACUCCUAGGAUCUCAGCAGAAUCAUUACACAGUUUCAGAAGCCACAAUUGCCUGGCAUGCUGUCUGGUCAUCAUGCGUGGCUACAAUGAAGUCCUGCUGACCCCAAGCAUGGUGUGAAAUGAAGAAAUGGCACUCCACAUCCAUAGAGAGCUUGAUUUCCCCUGUUUCAUGCUUACUUGUUGGCAUAGCCAGUCUGUUAGCUUAAUUUUUGGUUCUUCCCUAUUGAAUGCUCAAGAAAGGCACCAAAACUGUCAUUCAUUGAAAAAAAGUUGUUUGCAGACACUGCCAUGCACAAAGCCCUUGACCUCAUUGAAUGUUUUUAAAAGAAAAUGCAGCUUCUGUGUGCAGCAAUAGGCUGAACAAGACGAGGGCAAACAGGAAGGUUGCGACAUUAGUGUUCAAGAGUGGGCCAACAAAGAAGGUCACAAGCUGAAGCCAACAUCUUUACAAGGGAACAAAUGGAUUUAGCCUGAGCCAUUCCCUGUUCGACCAGCCAAGUCUCCUUGUCGAAACAUGUGCUCUAGCCUGAGGCGUACAUAUCCCGUUCUACCACUCUCGAUCAACGAUACACCAAUACAAUUAGCAACUCGUGGCAAGGUCGUAAAUUCACGUGGUGUGCACCCUGUAGUGUAGUGUGCACCCUGCAAAGUAGCAUGAACAGUAUGGUAUUUACUUGAAUGAAAUGCAGAUUUGCUUGCCAGUUACUUUAUUCCCAUGCUAUAAUUGGAAAGCAUGGUUCCUAAGAGAGAAUAAUGAUUUGAAGUUCACACAGUUUUGCUCCUUUAUGUAAGUUCACACUGUUACGGUUGCUACACUACCAGUCCUGUCUGCAACUGCAUAGUAGUGUUCCGAGUACGCAGCCCAAUUCAAUAGAAAAGGUAGGCUUUUUCCUCAGAAAAUGUGCUGCUGCCUCACAGCUUGAUGCAGACAAGUAUUUUAUAUCUGGAUGGUGACUGCAAUAGGAUGUGCUUCUUAAAUAAGAGCGAUAUGCUGUUUCAAGUGCAAUUAAAUGCAAUUUCAAAUGACCUCAGCUUGGGGGAUCACACAUGGGAGGCCAAUGUGAGAAGGAGGAUUUGAUAUUGUUACGUUCGAUAUGUUACAUUACAUACUGUGACAAUAUCUUAGAACAAGGCACUUGAACAUGAGAAAGCACGACUUAUUUCAUCUAAAGUUGCUACUGUUGGAUAUGAUCAGGGAAGGUACUUAUUCGUGACUCCAUUUGCAACAUGUUACAAUGCUGGCUUAAUAUUUUGCACUGGGUAGAUGAAAAAACCACUGCUUGCACAAUAUUCAACUAAACAAGGUAGCCAUGCUAAAGUGUCCAUGCAGAACACAACUCAUGCACUAUUAGAAAAUAAAUACGCAGGGUGAUCGUUUCUAAGUUUUAUGGAAUUUUUAAAAAUUGCCUGUGGCAGACAGCAUAAUUCUUGUCCUUGAGCUGGACUAUUUGAAGAGCCGGAUUACUAGCACAUGAAAUCGAAACACAUAAUCAAUUAGUUAAUGAAAAUUUCAGUAAUUAACUUCUUAACUGAUUAGUUUACAAUGCAUAUUGCAAUUAACAAAUGGUAGCCAGAGAGCUUGCAAGACGUAUCUACUUGAAAUGGAUUUCCAGGAUGACACCAGUUUCGAGAUAUUAUUUCCAAAGUGUGGGACGAAAUACAUGAAUGUUCUAGUUACUUUUGUGCUUCAAUGGAGAAGAUAGCAUUUUGUUAAAAAUGUAAGUUGAUAAACAGUGCAUUUUUAGGGCAAGUUUGAUGGCAUAUAUCUCCAAACUGGUGUCAUUAUGGAAAUUCAUUCCAAGUGGAUAUGCCUUGCAAACUCACCGGCUACAAUUCGUAAAUUGCAAUAUCGGCCGUAAAGUUUAAUUCAAAAGAUAAUUAGUGGAUUUUUGUUAAUUAGCUGAAUAUGUGCUACGAUUUGUCGUGAAAGUAAUGUCCGCAUCUCUGACAAAUACAGCUAAGGACUAGAAUUAUGAUAUCUGCAACAGGUUAUUUUUAAGAAUUGUGUAAAACUUAAAAAUGAUCACCCUGUAUAUAGGGGACCCUGUUUGGAACUUUCACAAAUCUAGUCAUAAACAAAAAGACCAAGGAUUAAAUCCCGGCCAUGGCGGCCACAUUUCGAUGGGAGCGAAAUACAAGAACACCUGUGUACUUAUAUUUAAACGUACAUUAAAGAAUCCCAGGUGGCCCAACUUAAUCCAGAGUCCCUUCCAACGACGGCGUGUCUCAGAAUCAUAUGAUGGUUUUGGCUCAUAAAACACUAUAAAUAAAUUUUUAACCUUUAGUAACCUGCUAAAAAAUGCAACGCAAUCACUAAACCAAAUGUUUUAGCUCGUUGCGUGAUGAGUCCCAAUUUCUUAAUUUAGUACUUAGGUAUUUAUCAUCGUAUGUUUUGUGCUAGUUCGUGCAAAAUACCACCUCUGGUCGGCCUCAUUCUACAGUCCACUGUUAAUUUUGGGUGGCUUAGUCAUGCAAGUUCAGCAUAUAUAUAGGCUGCAAUAUUGUGGAAUGUCUGCUCAAAGUAACAGUUCAAACAAAUGGUUCUGUAUUUAUGGUUCAAUAUGGGACGAAAUAAGAUUUCUUAAAUUAUCGUUUCUUGCGUUCACUAAUUUUAUUGUGUUAGGACGUGUACAAUAGUAUUGACUGGCAUGUUUACGAUGUAGUUUUUUUUAAUCCAGACACUUUUUUGUGUCUGGAAUGCUUGAAAGGAAUGCUUUUGAUUUGGCAGAAAGAACAUAUUUUAUUAUAUAUGUUACAUUUGGUGUAUAAUAAAUGUUGUUCUCUUUAGUG